rnacentral:rRNA from 1 species
AGAGUUUGAUCAUGGCUCAGAGUGAACGCUGGCGUAGGCCUAAUACAUGCAAGUCGAACGGCAGCACAGCAGAGCUUGCUCUGUGGGUGGCGAGUGGCGGACGGGUGAGGAAUACAUGGGAAUCUGCCCAGUCGUGGGGGAUAACGUAGGGAAACUUACGCUAAUACCGCAUGCGCCCUUCGGGGGAAAGCCGGGGACCUUCGGGCCUGGCGCGAUUGGAUGAGCCCAUGUCGGAUUAGCUAGUUGGCGGGGUAAUGGCCCACCAAGGCGACGAUCCGUAGCUGGUCUGAGAGGAUGAUCAGCCACACUGGAACUGAGACACGGUCCAGACUCCUACGGGAGGCAGCAGUAGGGAAUAUUGGACAAUGGGCGCAAGCCUGAUCCAGCCAUGCCGCGUGAGUGAAGAAGGCCCUCGGGUUGUAAAGCUCUUUUGUCCGGAAAGAAAAGCGCCGGGUUAAUACCCUAGUGUCCUGACGGUACCGGAAGAAUAAGCACCGGCUAACUUCGUG